rnacentral:rRNA from 1 species
GACGAACGCUGGCGGCGUGCUUAACACAUGCAAGUCGAACGGAAAGGCCCUGCUUUUGUGGGGUGCUCGAGUGGCGAACGGGUGAGUAACACGUGAGUAACCUGCCCUUGACUUUGGGAUAACUUCAGGAAACUGGGGCUAAUACCGGAUAGGAGCUCCUGCUGCAUGGUGGGGGUUGGAAAGUUUCGGCGGUUGGGGAUGGACUCGCGGCUUGUCAGCUUGUUGGUGGGGUAGUGGCUUACCAAGGCUUUGACGGGUAGCCGGCCUGGGAGGGUGACCGGCCACAUUGGGACUGAGAUACGGCCCAGACUCCUACGGGAGGCAGCGGUGGGGAAUAUUGCACAAUGGGCGGAAGCCUGAUGCAGCAACGCCGCGUGCGGGAUGACGGCCUUCGGGUUGUAAACCGCUUUCGCCUGUGACGAAGCGUGAGUGACGGUAAUGGGUAAAGAAGCACCGGCUAACUACGU